AUUUUUGUAUAUAUAUUUGUCUUGCUUCUCUCUCCUUUUUUCCUUCACUAUAAAGAAAAAAAAAUUGUUGUUGUUCUUCAAAUAUGCAGUAAUCUUGUUGUUGAGUGAUUCAAAAAUGGCUUCUGGGAGUGGAAGUAGAGGAAAACAUGAUCGUAAUCAUCAGCCGAAGAAUCAAUCGCAAUUUUCAGGUACAAGUAAUACUAAUGCAUUAAGCAAAGCAGUAGCACAAUAUACUACUGAUGCUAGGCUACAUGCUGCAUUUGAACAAUCUGGAGAAUCUGGAAAGAAUUUUGAUUAUUCACAAUCUGUUAGAAAUAGUACAGAAUCUGUAACAGAGCAUCAAAUUACUGCUUAUUUGAAUAAAAUGCAAAGAGGGGGUCAUAUUCAGCCUUUUGGUUGUACGAUAGCUGUUGAAGAGGCGAGUUUUUGUGUUAUUGCUUAUAGUGAAAAUGCAUGUGAGAUGCUUGAUAUAAUGCCGCAAUCAGUUCCAAGUCUUGAGAAGAAUGAAAUUCUCAAGAUUGGAACGGAUGUGAGGACCCUUUUUAGUUCUUCGAGUUCUGGUUUGCUUGAAGGUGCUUUUGGGGCACGAGAAAUUACGUUGUUGAAUCCGAUUUGGGUUCAUUCGAAGAAUUCGGGGAAACCCUUUUAUGCGAUAUUGCAUAGGAUUGAUGUGGGGAUUGUGAUUGAUUUAGAGCCAGCUAGAACAGAGGACCCUGCAUUGUCUAUUGCUGGAGCUGUGCAAUCGCAGAAGCUAGCUGUGAGAGCUAUUUCGCUUUUGCAAUCGUUACCUGGUGGGGAUAUUGAUCUUUUGUGUGAUACUGUUGUUAAGAGUGUCAGGGAGCUUACGGGGUAUGAUCGGGUGAUGGUGUAUAAGUUUCAUGAUGAUGAGCAUGGGGAGGUCGUGGCGGAGAGUAGAAGAUCGGAUUUGGAGCCUUAUAUUGGUUUGCAUUAUCCAGCUACUGAUAUUCCACAAGCAUCAAGAUUCUUGUUUAAGCAGAACAGGGUUAGAAUGAUUGUGGAUUGCACUGCCAUCCCUGUGAGGGUUAUUCAGGAUGAAUCACUCAUGCAGCCUUUAUGUUUAGUUGGCUCAACACUUAGGGCUCCUCAUGGUUGUCACCCUCAGUAUAUGGUCAAUAUGGGAAAUGUUGCGUCGUUAACACUUGCUGUUGUUAUAAAUGGAAAUGAUGAUGAAGUUGUUGGAGGCCGAAAUGCAAUGAGAUUAUGGGGUUUGGUUGUUGGGCACCACAGUUCAGCUCGGUUCAUUCCUUUCCCCCUUCGUUAUGCCUGUGAAUUCCUUAUGCAGGCCUUUGGGCUCCAACUAAACAUGGAAUUACAAUUGGCAUCGCAGUUGGCUGAAAAGCGGGUUUUGAGGACACAGACAGUGUUAUGUGACAUGCUUCUCCGAGACUCACCCACGGGGAUUGUUACUCAGAACCCAAGUAUUGUCGACCUUGUGAAAUGUGAUGGGGCUGCUUUGUACUACCAAGGGAGAUACUAUCCUUUGGGAAUUACACCAACUGCAGCCCAAAUAAAGGGCAUUGUGGAGUGGCUAUUAACUUGUCAUGUGGACUCAACAGGCCUAAGUACUGAUAGUUUGGCUGAUGCAGGGUAUCCUGAGGCAGCUUCUCUGGGUGCUGCUGUUUGUGGGAUGGCUGUUGCUUAUGUAACUUCAAAAUAUUUCCUUUUUUGGUUCCGUUCGCACACUGCGAGUGAGAUAAAGUGGGGUGGUGCAAAGCAUCAUCCAGAAGACAAAGAUGAUUGGCAGAAAAUGCAUCCACGUUCUUCCUUUAAGGCAUUUUUGGAAGUUGUUAAGAACCGCAGUUUACCAUGGGAGAAUGCAGAAAUGGAUGCAAUUCACUCUUUGCAGCUUAUACUACGUGAUUCAUUCAAGGAUGCAAGUAAUUCAAAGUCUAUUGUGCGUGUUCAGCUUCGGGAAGAGGGGUUGCAAGGGAUGGAUGAACUUAGAUCUGUUGCCAGAGAAAUGGUUAGAUUGGUGGAGACUGCUACAGCACCCAUAUUUGCCGUUGAUGUUGAAGGUCGCAUAAAUGCAUGGAAUGCUAAAGUUGCCGAGUUGACAGAGUUGUCAGUUGAAGAAGCAAUAGGGAAGUCGUUGGUUCAUGAUCUUGUCCAUGAAGAAUCACAGACAACUGCGCAGAACCUUCUCCGCAAAGCUUUAAGAGGUGAAGAAGAUAAGAACAUAGAAAUAAAGUUAAGGACAUUUGGAGCUGAGCAACUGAAGAAGACGGUUUUUGUGGAGGUUAAUGCUUGCUCUAACAAAGACUACACAAAUAACAUUGUUGGUGUCUCCUUCAUUGGCCAGGAUAUUACCGCCCAAAAAGUUGUACUGGACAAAUUUGUUCGCAUACAAGGUGAUUACAAGGCCAUUAUGCACAGCCCUAAUCCUCUGAUCCCGCCCAUUUUUGUAUCAGAUGAGAACACUUGUUGCUUUGAGUGGAACACUGCGAUGGAAAAACUUAGUGGUUGGAACAAAGAAGAAAUCAUUGGGAAAAUGUUGGUUGGUGAGAUUUUUGGCACUUUCUGCCGGCUCAAGGGCCCAGACGACAUGACAAAUUUCAUGAUCAUGUUGCAUAAGGCAAUUGGAGGCCAGGAGAUAGACAAGUUCCCUUUUUCCUUUUCUGACCGAAAUGGAAAAUUUGUUCAAGCUCUUUUGACUGCAAACAAGAGAGUCAAUGUGGAUGGCCAAAUUAUUGGGGCCUUUUGUUUCUUGCAGAUUGCAAGUCCUGAAUUGCAGAAAACUCUAAUGCAGAGACAACAAGAGAAGACGAGUAACAUUCACAUGAAAGAGUUGGCUUACAUUUGUCGGGAAUUAAAGAAUCCUCUAAAUGGUAUACGCUUUACAAAUUCAUUAUUAGAGGCCACAGAAUUGACAGAAAACCAGAAGCAGUUUCUGGAAACAAGUGCUGCUUGUGAGAGGCAGAUGUCCAAGAUCAUAAGGGAUAUUGAUCUGGACAAUAUUGAGGAUGGUUCCCUGGAGCUUGAGAAAGGUGAAUUUUUUCUUGCGAGUGUGAUAGAUGCUGUUGUUAGCCAAGUGAUGUUAUUAUUGAGGGAAAGAGGAGUUCAACUUAUCCGUGAUAUUCCAGACGAAAUCAAGACAUUGAGGGUCUAUGGAGAUCAAGUCAGAAUUCAACAGGUUUUCGCUGAUUUCUUACAGAUUAUGGCAAGCUAUGCACCACCCCGGGAAGGGUGGGUAGAAGUCCAUCUUCGACCAAGUAUAAAGCAAAUUUCUGAUGGAGUAACUAUAGUACAUAUCGAGUUCAGGAUUGUUUGCCCUGGUGAAGGUCUUCCUCCAGAAUUGAUCCAAGAUAUGUUCCAUAAUAGUUUGUGGGUAACUCAACAAGGUCUAGGGCUAAGCAUGUGUAGAAGAAUCCUACAGCUUAUGAAUGGUCAAGUCCAGUAUAUCAGAGAAUCAGAAAGAUGUUUUUUCCUUAUUAUCCUUCAACUACCAAUGCUGAUUCAAUGAUAGUUCAACAACAGCUAUAUUCAUCACAAAAUGUACAUUAUGACUGAGCAACUACUGAUACAGAGUCAUACAUCUUUAGCCCUGUGAUUUCGGCCUUUGGUAUGUAUUGCGAUCACUUAUUUCCUCACGUUGGAUUGCCUAUCCCUAUUGAACAACAACUACUUCAAAAGCUACCAUCCUCUGAAGGAUGGUAUUGCGAAGAGAUCAUGCGAAUAGGAUCUUUUCAAGUUCAAUAUAUAGGGAAGAGCUCCGCGGGUGAUAUUCAUAAUACAAGCAAAGUAAUGGAAGGUAGUAAUACUUUUAUCGACUUGCUUGGAAUCGGACAAGACAAGAAGCAAUGGGCGAUAGGACCGGUUCUCCGGCCUAUUAAGAAUGAAAAAAAUGGAUUCCCCUGUUUGGAUUGGUUGGAUGAACAACCUCCAAACUCAGUUCUUUACAUAUCUUAUGAUAUGUUGACUUCAUUUUCUGAUGAACAAAUUAAGGAACUAGCAAUGGGUUUAGAGCUUAGCAAACAAAAGUUCAUAUGGUUGUUGAAGGAUCCUGAUAAUACUGAUAUCUAUCUCGGGGCAAACCUCAAUAGAGAAUUUGAGUUUCAUGCAGGGUUUGAGGAAAGACUAAACGGGGUCGGGUUACUAGUUAGAGAUUGGGCACCACAAACCGAAAUCUUGGCUCAUUCAUCCAUUGGCGGGUUCUUAAGUGCGUGUGAUUGGACUUCUUGUGUAGAGACCGUUACUAUGGGAGUCCCAAUAAUUGCUUGGCCCACACACUCUGACCACCCAAAAAAUGGUUUUUUGUUAACAGAACUGUUGAAAAUAGGCCUGGUUAUAACGGAAUGGGAUAAGAAACGCGAUGAGAUGGUCACUGCAUCCACCAUUGAUAAUGUCGUGAGGAAGUUAAUGGCAUCAGAAGAAGGCGACGAGGUUAGGAAAAGAGCAAAAGAGUUGGGAGAAGCCGUGAGGAAGUCUACUGAGAAAGGGGGUGCUUCUCGAAUGGAGUUGGAUUAUUUUAUCGCGCAUAUCACUAGAUAGAUUAUUUCAAAAACUCUUUUUUUACUACUAUUUUGAGUGUACUUUGUGGAAUAAGUAUUAGACAUUGUAUGAAUAAUUUUGCUGUUUCAUGUAA